GACGAACGCUGGCGGCGUGCUUAACACAUGCAAGUCGAACGGAAAGGCCCUGCUUUUGUGGGGUGCUCGAGUGGCGAACGGGUGAGUAACACGUGAGUAACCUGCCCUUGACUUUGGGAUAACUUCAGGAAACUGGGGCUAAUACCGGAUAGGAGCUCCUGCUGCAUGGUGGGGGUUGGAAAGUUUCGGCGGUUGGGGAUGGACUCGCGGCUUAUCAGCUUGUUGGUGGGGUAGUGGCUUACCAAGGCUUUGACGGGUAGCCGGCCUGAGAGGGUGACCGGCCACAUUGGGACUGAGAUACGGCCCAGACUCCUACGGGAGGCAGCAGUGGGGAAUAUUGCACAAUGGGCGGAAGCCUGAUGCAGCAACGCCGCGUGCGGGAUGACGGCCUUCGGGUUGUAAACCGCUUUCGCCUGUGACGAAGCGUGAGUGACGGUAAUGGGUAAAGAGACACCGGCUAACUACGU
rnacentral:rRNA from 1 species